rnacentral:rRNA from 1 species
UGGAGUUUUGAUCCCUGGCUCCAGAUUGAACGCUGGCGGCAGGCUUAACACAUGCAAGUCGAGCGGUAACAGGAGAAGCUUGCUUCUCGCUGACGAGCGGCGGACGGGUGAGUAAUACUUUAGGAAUCUACCUAGUAGUGGGGGAUAGCUCGGGGAAACUCGAAUUAAUACCGCAUACGACCUACGGGAGAAAGGGGGCAACUUGUUGCUCUCGCUAUUAGAUGAGCCUAAGUCGGAUUAGCUAGAUGGUGGGGUAAAGGCCUACCAUGGCGACGAUCUGUAGCUGGUCUGAGAGGAUGAUCAGCCACACCGGGACUGAGACACGGCCCGGACUCCUACGGGAGGCAGCAGUGGGGAAUAUUGGACAAUGGGGGCAACCCUGAUCCAGCCAUGCCGCGUGUGUGAAGAAGGCCUUUUGGUUGUAAAGCACUUUAAGCAGUGAAGAAGACUCCAUGGUUAAUACCCAUGGACGAUGCA